rnacentral:rRNA from 1 species
AGCUGUAAACCUAGCCCUCAAAAAACAAUAACCCUCAAAUCCCAACUAAAUCAUUUACACUCUUUAGUAUAGGUGAUAAAAAAAGAAAUAAGCGCAACAGACAGAGUACCGUAAGGGAAAGAUGAAAUAGUUAUGAAAUAAUCACCAAAGCACUAAAAAGCAGAGAUACACCCUCGUACCUUUUGCAUCAUGGUCUAGCAAGAAACCUUAAGCAAAACGCAUUAAAGUUUAACCCCCCGAAACUAGACGAGCUACUCCGAGGCAGCUAUAAGAGCAAACCCAUCUCUGUGGCAAAAGAGUGGGAAGACCCCCGA